rnacentral:rRNA from 1 species
AGAGUUUGAUCCUGGCUCAGGACGAACGCUGGCGGCGUGCCUAAUACAUGCAAGUCGUACGCUUCUUUUUCCACCGGAGCUUGCUCCACCGGAAAAAGAGGAGUGGCGAACGGGUGAGUAACACGUGGGUAACCUGCCCAUCAGAAGGGGAUAACACUUGGAAACAGGUGCUAAUACCGUAUAACAAUCGAAACCGCAUGGUUUUGAUUUGAAAGGCGCUUUCGGGUGUCGCUGAUGGAUGGACCCGCGGUGCAUUAGCUAGUUGGUGAGGUAACGGCUCACCAAGGCCACGAUGCAUAGCCGACCUGAGAGGGUGAUCGGCCACAUUGGGACUGAGACACGGCCCAAACUCCUACGGGAGGCAGCAGUAGGGAAUCUUCGGCAAUGGACGAAAGUCUGACCGAGCAACGCCGCGUGAGUGAAGAAGGUUUUCGGAUCGUAAAACUCUGUUGUUAGAGAAGAACAAGGAUGAGAGUAACUGUUCAUCCCUUGACGGUAUCUAACCAGAAAGCCACGGCUAACUACGUGCCAGCAGCCGCGGUAAUACGUAGGUGGCAAGCGUUGUCCGGAUUUAUUGGGCGUAAAGCGAGCGCAGGCGGUUUCUUAAGUCUGAUGUGAAAGCCCCCGGCUCAACCGGGGAGGGUCAUUGGAAACUGGGAGACUUGAGUGCAGAAGAGGAGAGUGGAAUUCCAUGUGUAGCGGUGAAAUGCGUAGAUAUAUGGAGGAACACCAGUGGCGAAGGCGGCUCUCUGGUCUGUAACUGACGCUGAGGCUCGAAAGCGUGGGGAGCAAACAGGAUUAGAUACCCUGGUAGUCCACGCCGUAAACGAUGAGUGCUAAGUGUUGGAGGGUUUCCGCCCUUCAGUGCUGCAGCUAACGCAUUAAGCACUCCGCCUGGGGAGUACGACCGCAAGGUUGAAACUCAAAGGAAUUGACGGG